CACUCCUUCAGCUGAGAAAAUGACUUGGGUCUUCUUGCAAGGCAGGGAGAAAGGCAAUUUGAAAACCAGCUAGAGGUUGAGUGGGACAGGCCAGAUCAAGUCUUACACCAUGAACCAAGAAAUGAGAGAAACAACCCAGACUUGGAAAGGAACUUUCAUAAGGCCACACACUGAGGAAGCAACUCAGGAUCUGGGCUCAGACCUCCCUGUUUUCCAUUCCGGCCCUCAGCAAUGUAUGUGAAACAGAGGUUUCCAGAGCACGUGAUGGAACCUGAAGAUGGAAGAAGCUCAUUUCCUUCCAAUAACUGCCCGGGUAGAAGCCGUUUCCCAUCAGCAUUUCACCACUGUCACCACUGUGGUGCCUUUUCACAGGUGGUACCUUUGCACCUGCUAUGAAGCCAACUGUGAGCUCGCACUGGCUGCCAGGAGAAGAGUGACAGUCCUUCUGACACAGCUCAGCCAGCUCUCCAGCAAGCAUAUCCUCUAACUUGGAGUUCUUAUGUCGAGAUUAAAUGGGUGCUCUUUGAUCUGCAUUAGAAAGGUGCUCUCUGAAGAAAGCUGGCUUUGUUGUCUGAGUACCUCCUGACACAUACUCAUUCCUUCAACACCGGUCUUUCCAUAGAGGUGGGCUUCAGCUUUAUUCU